ensembl:lncRNA CCDC18-AS1 CCDC18 antisense RNA 1
GCUCCAGAACAACUCUUCUUCAUAGUUACGUUAUACUGCCCCUGCAUUGUUGGUAUUGAAAAUAACUGAUACCGUGCUUCCAGAAGAUUUUUCUAACAGUGUUUGCAAGCUAUAAAAUAGUGCUUUCACUUAGAAAAGGCAUGAGCCACCGUUCCCGGCCAAGGUGGCUGUAGCUACCUUCUGCAUAUGGAUAUCCAGUUUUCCCAGCACCACUUAUUAAAGAGACUGUCUUUUCUGCAGUGUAUAUUCUUGGCACCGUUGUUGAAAAUGAAUUCAUUGUAGGUGUGUGGGUUUGUUUCUGGGUUCUCUAUUCUGUUCAACUUGUCUAUGUGUCUGUUUUUAUGCCAGUACCGUGUCAUUUUAGUUACCAGAGCUCUGCAGUAUAAUUUGAAACCAGGUCAUGUGAUUCCUCCAGUUUUGUGGUAUUAGGAUAGGUUUGGCUAUUCUGAGUCUUUUGUGGUUCCAUAUAAAUUUUAGAAUUUUUUUUUUCUA